rnacentral:rRNA from 1 species
CACGUAGGGGGCGAGCGUUGUCCGGAUUUAUUGGGCGUAAAGAGCUCGUAGGCGGCUCACUAAGUCGGGUGUGAAAUUUCGAGGCUCAACCUCGAAACGCCACCCGAUACUGGUGUGGCUAGAGUCCGGUAGGGGAGCGUGGAAUUCCUGGUGUAGCGGUGAAAUGCGCAGAUAUCAGGAGGAAUACCGGUGGCGAAAGCGACUCUCUGGACGGCAACUGACGCUGAGGCACGAAAGCGUGGGGAGCAAACAGG